GUGAUUAAACUACCAGCAAAUGUCUUCCUUAUUUUCUUUAGACAUCAGCCAAUCACAGCUCUUUUUGAAGUGAGCAUGCGCAGUUUCGCAUUUUUUGUUGCGUCAUUACAUAGAAUUAGCUGCUAAUCGGUUUUUGUAAAAAUCAAAACCAAAGUAGCGCAUUUGGUGUUUUCACAAGUAAAACGUGGACUAAAAUGCGCAGCUUACGUGUUUUAAAUUGAAAGGUUUUCGUCCUCUUCAAGGUUUCUGAGGACGAACGUCGUGUGAACAGAGAUGUGAUCCCGUUAAACCCUGAACAUCGGUGGCUUUGGUCUGUACGUUUGCUAGGCUGGAACACGAGAACAUCUUUGCAGAGAGCUUCCUGUAGAACAGCGACCGACCGAAGAGGAUUGGAGGGAAAAUUAAAGUAAUCUUUUUCACUGUCGUGGGAUUUAACACUCCAAGAGUUGAACCCUGGGGAUCUACCAGACCAGAACCAGGAACCUACCAAGACCAGGACUUCCUUUAGUAUUGAACUUGAAGAUGAUUUAAGAGCAAAAAAGAGAAAGAGUUAAAUAGAAAAAGUUUCUGUUGUUCUGAUCUGAGAGGAUCCUGACCUGCAGUAACCAGCAGUGUGAACUAGAAAGACUUCCUGAACUUAAAGUCUUUGUUCUGCAGAGUGUGGCUCUGACACCUUCACGUUGGUGAGCACAUCCACUGAACUCCCUCCAGCUGCAGGUGAACCACAGUCAGCUGGAGACGUUUGAAAAGCUUCAGCCGCUGUGGGCGUUCCCUCAGGAAAACUCUGAUACAAUCAGCAGCUCCUGGAUUCGAUCUGCCUGGCUGUAAAUCAGUGUAAACCAUAAACAUUAUACAAACGGCACCCAACAACGCGGAGGAGAUUAAAUCUGUGUGCGGCAACAAAACCCUGAGAGCUAAUUAUUACCUCCUGGAUCAGAGAAAACAACGAAUGCUCACCUCCUUCAGAUGAACGGAAAGAAGGAUUCUGCUGCUAUAAAUGCAUCACUGGCUGCGCUGCACUUCACUCUCAUCUUCCCGUGCUGUUGUGACAUUUCCAACACGAGCGCGCGGCUCUGAAAGCUCGGUCUCUGUCCUUAAUGCAGAGCGGCAGCAGAAAUGAAGCACCCUGUGUUUGGGACACUUCCUUUCCUUAAACGUACCUGCAGAUCUGCCCAGUCGCUGGCACCGUGUGUGGACAUGAUGAGGCCCUGCUCUUGGACCGUCUUGAGCCUCAACGAGAGCUGGAACUCCCGGCUGUCCUCGUCCUGCCCGUGCAGGUACUUCAGGUAGGACCUGCUGUCGAACCUCAGAGCCGACUCUGAAACACAAAGAAACGUUUGAGUCAUCGUCUGACUCGAGGAGACGUUCCUGUUUAGUCAAACUUGGAUUUUCUUUUCCUUAAAGAGCCACUCCAAUGAAAAUUGUGUUUUUAACAUCUUCUUGUGACACGUUUCUCAUGAUAGAGGACAUGUAUACAGUAUUUCUUUGUUCAAAUUAUUGUAAAUCGGGAGAAGACGAAAAAAUGCAUUUGAAAAAAGUCGUAUUUGUGACAUAGAACCCACCUCUCUGCACCUUUUUUCUACUGUAAAUUAUGCAGUUAUUGCUUGCACUUCUGGUUGGAUGCUAACUGCAUUGUUGUUUUGUACUUGCACAUGCACAAUGUCAAUAAAGUUGAAUCUAAUCUAAUCUAGAAAAUACGCUGGUAUUUGGCUCCGGGCUCUCAUUGAUGGGGAGGGGAAGGGGGGCGGGGUUUCUCUGUGCCAAAAGUCUUGCCCACAACUCAGAGAAGAAUUCCAAUGAACUUCUGCUGCUCUGCAGAAACUAUAUCCUAGAAAAUGACAUGUUUAGUUAAAAACAGCAUCAUUGUGAUUAAAAGAUCUGUGGGAAGGCUUUGGAAAUAGAUCAGGAGAUGAUCGAAGUCUUAAAAGACUCACAAUGUCAGCAAAAUCAUAAAGUUUGAAAACUAAAACAUUUAAUAAAUCUUUGAAAAAAGCAAGAAUAAUUAACAAAAAUAAAAAAA